rnacentral:snoRNA from 1 species
UUGAAAGCUGAGACCACCUGCUUGCAAGAGCAGCUUUGAAAUGGUUUGAGGCCUUGCUCUACAAUAUCUACAGAGCAAGGUUAUAGAAAUUUCAGACAUUC